AAAACAAUUUAAAAUAAAUUAAUACAAUGAAUGUGAAUAUAUUGUAAGAAGUAUAUAUAUAUAACUAGAAUGUUUGACAAUAUUUUGUGUACUCAAUGGGCAUGCUUUGCAGCUAAUAAGCAAUAGUUAGCCAUUUUAUUUAGUGAAGUUUAGCUGUGUCAUUAAGUUGUUGAAUUAUUGUCAAAAAUUAUUAUGACUGGUCGGAUAAUUAUAUUCAUUUAUAAUUUUAAUAUAAUAUAUAUUUAAUAUAAUAACAAAAAAGAAAGAAACAUUUAUUAAUUCAAAGGAUGAUCUAUGUCAAGCUGAAAUGCAUGUACUAAAGUAGAAACUGUGUAGUAAAGUAAAUGGUUCAGUAAUAUAUAAAUAUAUCAGAAGUUUAUUAAAGGAAUACAUGACUUAUUGUUAAAUAUUUUUUCCUGUCUAAUUAUUGAAUAAAUCCCAGAUUCGGAAGAAAACCACUAAAUAAAUGUAUACUGAAAUGUUUUUUAUUUGAAUAAUUAUUAAUGAAAGCAGAGUUUAAUUUUUAAUUAGAAUGUAAUUAAUGUGUCAAAUCUACAGAUCAGUUAAUGUUAGUAAAUAAACGAUUUUGAAAAUGUAAAUACCAACUAUUUCAAAAUGUGCGAUAUGUGAUUUGUGGUUGAUUUAUAUUUAUAUAAUAGUUUUUAAGCAUUAAAUUAAUUAAAUAAUUAAUACAAAAAUACAAAACACAGCAUACUCAAAACAGUAUUAACCAUGUUAGUCUAUUCUUACUUUUAUAAAUAAUUAAAUAUUUCAAAUGUUAGUUAUUGUAUUGGGUUGUAAUGUACAAACAAAUGAAUUGUAAUUCAAAAAGAAAUGAUUAUUGUGAGAAAAUAUCUAAAGAUCUAAAGCACAAGAUUACGAUUUCAGCCUUAUAAAAUUUCAACUUUCCCCAAAUAAUAAUAAAAUAACUAAAAUGAACUGGCUUUAACUCAUGUUUACUCGAGUACUUCAUCACCCUAUUUGAGCAAAUGGUUUGUAAAUAGGAAAAACGGUGAGUGUUAGUGUGUCUAGGUGUAAAAACUGUACGCGUUGGGGGUUGAGAUAACCUAGAUGAUAGCCCCAAAGCUUAAUUUUGGUGAGCAAGACGGACAAGACAGUGGUGUGACCUCGGACUGCCAACAACACUGAACUAUGCCAUUCUCACAGCUUGCCAUAAUAUUUUAAAAAUUAUUUAACUUCUAUAUAAAGUGAAUAUGAAGUCGACAGUGUUUUGUCUGUUCUGCUAUCUAGUUUGUGACUUAAUAGUGUAUGCUUAACAUUAUUGAGAUAGUACAUAUAAAGAUGCGGAAAAGUCAUUAGUCAUUAUUGUAGGUGAGAAAAAAAAAAUUCUUUCAAGUUAAUUUCAAAACAGGUCAGAUUUUAUCAUUAUUUCUGUACACAAGUCAGAUAGUAGAUCUAAGAUUGUCAUUUUGUAAUAUUAUGAAAUAAUAGUGAUGAAAAAAAAAAAAGAUUUGCAUCCCUGACUUUUAUUUUUUUUUAACUUUUAAUAUCAAAAAGUCAGAGGUCAUCAAGAGAAAAAGAUGAACCUAAGAAAUGCCUCAUUCUAAACUCAAACUGUGAAUACAGAAGUACGAGAUGGUUAAAAACAAAACCCAAAUUGUAAUACCAAAAGCCCUCCUGGGCCUUACCAAAUGGCGUUAUUUAAGAAAGACUGUACAAAUAGGAUCGAGUGUUAAAAUCGGGCUGCAUCAAGAGUAUUCAAUCGAAUAAAUAAUCUGAUAAAAGUUUGAUACUUGUUAAUUAAUGCAUUCAAAACAACAAAAUAACCCCCCUUUUUAGCUCUUAAAAUAUUGUUUCAAAAAAGCUCUUCUGAAUGAAUUAAAUUAAAUAUUUGAGUAUAGUAUCAGACGGGGGAUGCUAUUCUAUUAAAUAGUCCUGAGGAAGGCCGACAAAUACGCCGAAAGCUCAACAUCAGAAAAAAGUUGAUUUUUUUUAACCUUCAAGGCUUCAUCCCUGAUCUCCUUGAUUUAUUAAAUAUUUCAAUUUUAUUUUUGACAUCAAGGAGAGAUUAAUGCUAAAAUGCUGAAAGUACUGUUUUACUUUGAUUCCCUCGUUUGAGACAUCAAAAUGAUUGACAAUGAACUUUCUUACAAAUGUAUGGCAUAUUCGUUCAUAUAACAACCACAAAGGGCAUUCAAAGUUACUUAUGGAUAUCUAAUGGCAUAAAAUUACCACCCAGCAAGAUUGCAAAUUAUUCAGAAAAAAAAAUCUAUUCAGUCCCUUACUGUGAUGGAGAAGAUUCUGCAGUCUUGGGCAUCUUGGCAUAUAUUUGCCAUAGUUAAUUUCUAUGUAACUAUUGCCUUAAUUAACAAUUAUAUUUAUUUAUUUGCAUAUUUUUUGCUAAACAAUUUUGACAUAUAGUAAUAGAAUUUUUACUAUUUUUAUUGUUAGCUUGCCCUCUAAAGCAUAAGCUUGUGUAGAGGACAGAUGAUAUAUAAAUAAAGUUCGUUAUAAUUACAGACCAAUUAUUAACACGAGGUACUUUAACACAUGACAACUUGUUUUUGGAAAACUUACGUAUAUAAUUGUAAAAGGCAAAAUUAAUCGUUCUAAUUGACUUAAAGUGAUAUUUCCUUUAAUAUUUGUGAUAAUUUUCUUUUGUUAAAUUUCUAAUAGAAUCAAACAAAAUAAUCACUGAGGGAGGAAAAGGAUUGGUGAUAUUUUAAAAUAGUUUCGAUGGUGACUGGAUGUCAUUUACAAUAUGUGAAGGUUCCUCAAUUUUGAUCAAGGAACAUUAUUUGCUUUCUUUUCAAUAGGUUUGUGAUCCCAUCAUUGACGUAAGAUGGUUUAUAAUUGUUGAAGUUUUGAAGGUGUUAUUCCAAUUAUUCUUACCUUCCUAGAGUAUUAUCCAAGUCGAUUAUCUCGUCGACCCAAUUCUAUAUGACAAAAAUGGACUUUUUAUACAAUGCUGAAGCAUGGAUUAUUAUCCCUUUUUUUAAGCCUAAUAAAUUGAAUUCAUGUGUACAGUAGUAAUUAAUUUCUUUUAAAAAUCCUAAUGAUUGCUAUUAUUCUGCUCUAUGCUAUGUUUACUGUACAUUGUUUUUAGAGUGUUUUGGUAAAAUAAUAUGAUAAACAUGCAAACAAGUCGAUCAAGAAAACGUGUUAUUACACAUUUUGUUUGUUUAAUAUUUUUUUAAAGUCUGUGAAGAGCUGAACCUAUCGGCUUGAUCCUCUUUUAUCAUCAUCUGCUUAUUCUCACUAGUUUUCUGUCAGAAGUGUUUUGGUAUCUUGCCAUCUUCAGUGGUUGGCCAGUUUUGCCUAUCAUGUCCCUUUAUAAGUUUGUAAAAUAAAUUUACACAGAAGGUGGUGAAAUGCUGAAACACGCCUGAGACAGCAGCAAGAAUCAGCAGAUGAGGAUGUUCAGGGACAGUCAAGCUUUGUCCAUACAGUUACCGUUCAAUAUCACGAUGAAAGUAGUAUAACUGACACUGACAAUACUAUGAAUUUUUUUAAAACUCUUGCAAGUGCAUAUCAUUACUUACACACUACCCCAGCUCUCCAGGCCUUCAACCUACAAUGUGAGAAAAUUUUUCUUGUUCUACUGUACUACUAAAUAAAAUAUACAUAUUUCUUAAAUAACUAUUCAAUAUAUAACUUUAAAUUUCAUUUUUUUAAAUCUGAAAAUGCUAAAAACACCAGUAGCGUGCAUUUAAAGAGAAAUCAAAUAAAAAUAAAGCGUAUAAGCCAUUUAUUGCAGAAAUAAGGAACUUCUGAAGAGGUAUGUUUAAGUAAACAACAACUUUGUUUAAAACUAUUUUUUUAUCUUAUUUGUGUUGAGCUCCAAUUUAAUCUUAUCACAGAAAAAUAUCUGUUUUUUUUUAUCUCCUUUAAAUGUAAAUCAACUUAGAUAGUGUCAUAGGGACAGAUAGCGCAAAAUCAACAAGGUCGAGAGUGUCAUUUGGUUAGAAAAACAAGUGUAUGUUCUAUGUACGUUGAACAAACUUUUUGCUCAUUCAGGAUUCAGUUUUGUAAAUAUUAACCUUAUCAAACUGGAGUACUCCAGUGUUCAUGUAAUAAUUUAACGCACAUUGGAAAAAUAUAUUAUAAAUUAAGGUGAACAUUUUUUUACGUUUGAAAUGCACAUUUUUUAAAAAAAUGUCAUUACAAUUUUUGAUUCACUCAUUAACAUUGUGAUUUUGCCUUAUCGAAACUUUAGCUGAACGGAUAAAGUGGAAAUGGUUUGGUUGCAACAUUUGGAACGGUUCAGGCUUAGGACCUUUUCCAAGCUUUUGAACUUCCAGGUAAAGCAUUUAUUGACAAAAACAGAUGAAGCUUUAAAGGACGUUUGUACUAAGAUCAGGUAAGUGGUUGUAUGUUUAAAAAAACUAUCACAGCUUGUAAUUUUCUACUUCACAUCUUAUUUACAUAUUUAUCCAAUCCUCCUAUCAAAUUUUUGAAAACUUAAACACAAUAAGUAAAUAUCAAUAUUUUCCCUUACACCAAUCAUUAUAUUUAUCCCAAAGAAAAU